GUUGUUGCAGUUAAAAAGCUCGUAGUUGGAUCUCAGGCCUGUGACCGGUGGUCCGCCCGAUACGGGUGUGCACUGCCGUGUCCGGUCUACGUCUGGUUUCAAUCUAUAGUGCUCUUAACCGGGUGCUAUAGAAUGCCAGAAAGUUUACUCUGAAAAAAUUAGAGUGCUUAAAGCAAGCCGUUGUGCUUGAAUACUGUUGCAUGGAAUAAUGGAAUAGGACCUCGGAUCUAUUUUGUUGGUUUUCGGAGUCGAGGUAAUGAUUAAGAGGGACAGACGGGGGCAUUCGUAUUGCGCCGUUAGAGGUGAAAUUCUUGGAUCGGCGCAAGACGAACAACUGCGAAAGCAUUUGCCAAGGAUGUUUUCAUUAAUCAAGAACGAAAGUCAGAGGUUCGAAGACGAUCAGAUACCGUCGUAGUUCUGACCAUAAACGAUGCCAACUGGCGAUCUGCCGCAGUCUGGCUUAAAGGACUCGGCAGGCAGCCUCCGGGAAACCUAAGUCUAUGGGUUCCGGGGGAAGUAUGGUUGCAAAGCUGAAACUUAAAGGAAUUGACGGAAGGGCACCACCAGGAGUGGAGCCUGCGGCUUAAUUUGACUCAACACGGGAAAACUCACCCGGCCAGGACACCGUA
rnacentral:rRNA from 1 species